rnacentral:misc_RNA from 1 species
UCGUUACAAAUUAUGAGAUUUAUUAAUGAAUAUGCCAACGGUACAAGUGAGAAAGAGUAUGAACAACUAGGAAAUUAGAAAAAGCUCAACAUGCAGAUUCACUCAAAACAAUGAUUUGAUUCUAUGAUUCUGUAAUAAUUAUUAAUUCCAAUUCAAGUGGCAUAGCCACACUAAUACUAGAUCAUACUAGAUCUCAAAUGUUGAUCAGCCACUUCUAUCCUAUCCUACAUUUUGUAAAUGAUUACACUGUACAGAUCACAAUGACAAGGCCAUAUGCUGAGAUGCCGAACCCAAGCAUUACUGUUAAAAGAUGUAGGGAAACAAUUUCCAUAAAAUAUGAGAUUCAUUUUUCAUGAUCAUCUUCAGAUGUGUCUAUCUUGAUUAUGAGAGGCUGGCUCAGAUCAACAGGAGGAUCAGCCACAAUAGGUAACUGAGAAGAAGCCAAAAUGCUAUCUAUAUCCUCAUUCUCGGCCAAAGCUUUGUCCAAAGCAGACUUAGCAACUUUAGUAACACACAAAAUUAGCACCACAGAUACAACAAGGCCCAAUAUGAUGCACAACCAACGCGUAGUUGAAAACUCACUCCAUCCAUGGGUUACAUCAGAAAGAUCUUUCAGAGUUGUUCCAACAUAUACCAAUGCAAGAGUUAUUGGCAUCAUUCCUAUCCAGGAAGCCAGCAUGUAUUCUCCUAAUGGAACAGGAGUCACAGACAGCAGGUAAUUCAACAUGUUAAAAGGAAGCAAGGGAACAAGUCGAAGCAGAAGAACAAUCUUAAAGCCAGAUCUCUGAAUUGCAAUUGCAACUGACCUAAACUGUGGAUAAUCCUUCAACUUGGAAACAACAAAAGAUCUACCAAUUGUUCUUCCAAGAAGAAAAGCAGACCCAGCACCAAUUGUGGCACCAACAGAAUCAGCAACAAAGCCCACGGGUAACCCAAAGAGAUAUCCACCACCAAGCUGAACAAUGGUAACCAAAUCAGUAGAGGUCUUGAUACUUGUAUAGAGAAAAUUAUUAUAAAUAGCACCAAGGGGAUGAAAAAACAUGUAUACAUGCAGCAAUUUGUUUCAUAAUGCCUAGGGAAUCUGCAUGUGACAAAAGAUUGUAAUCAAGAAUAGGAAGCACCCACUUGAUACAACUGAAGUGGAAUGCUGGAGAACAAACUCCAAGCAAACAAAGCCAGGAAUAUCAUCAGAUUACCAAAGCAUUAGUUGUGGAAAACAAUAAGGAAUUGUGACUGGGUUGACAUGAAUAUAUUAAAGGUUAUCAAGGCUUACAGUAAGCACCGAUGCUGGAACCGCCAAGACCGUUAGAGGAAUGUAUGCAACAGCCCUGCAUAUCACCAAAUGACAAGAAAUAUGAAUUGACUAAUUCCCAGAACAGAUCAGAAUAUGAUCAAUCCAUUCAUACUAGAAUGUUUUAUUGAUCACAAAUAUCAUGAUAUGAAAUUUGACUGCACCAUUCUUGCUACAACUAUCAGCACAGUUUGAACAAAAUCAAUAUCAAAUUACUUUGUGAAGGAAAACAAUUCUAUGAGAAGUUAAUAAGGGGAAAAAAAACAAGGAGAACAUGAAGAAAAAAUUGACUAACAGCACAAGCGGUCCCCAAGGCCCAAGAUCUUGCUCAACCCAUAAUAAGAAGUCCUUCAAGAUCUUUUCGACGGGGAGGGUGAAGCAAGCAAAAAUAACAGCAGCAAGGAGAAGAAUGAGGAGAGUGAUCCUAAGAGCAGAGCCCCAGGUGAAAGAAGCCAUGGUGGAAGAAAUCCUGCGGCGCCAAGGCCUGCAGUCCUCGUCGUCGUUUUCGUACUCCGAUACUGCUUGCUUGAGCGGCAAACGAGGCCUUAAUCCCCCAAGAUUUGCCAGAUUUUUGCGUGGGUUGCAAGAUUUGCCAGAUUUUUGCGUGGGUUGCAAAAUUUGAGCAAAGGGGAAAAUGAGGAUCUGAACAAAUUUUGGUAUUUUAGGCCAUGAAAAAAAUUAUUUAAAAAAACUUUUAUAAAUUUCCUUUACCGGGAAUCGAACUUGAGUUUUUCGAGUGAGAGCCGA